GAUGAACGCUGGCGGCGUGCCUAAUACAUGCAAGUCGAGCGGACGGACGAGGAGCUUGCUUCUCUCACGUUAGCGGCGGACGGGUGUGUAACACGUGUAUAACCUACCUAUAAGACUGAGAUAACUUCGGGAAACCGGAGAUAAUCCCGGAUAAUAUCUUGCACCGCAUGGUUCAAUGGUGAGAGACGGUGUUGCUGUCACUUAUCGCUGGAUCCGCGCUGCAUUAGCUAGUUGGUAAGGUAACGGCUUACCAAGGCUACGAUGCGUAGCCGAACUGAGAGGGUGAUCGGCCACACUGGAACGGGGACACGGACAAGAGUCCUGAGGGAGGCAGCAGUAGGGAAUGUUCCGCAGAAGGCGAAAGCCUGACGGAGCAACGCCGCGUGAGUGAUGAAGGUCUUCGGAGCGUGAAACUCUGUUAUUAGGGAAGAACAGAUGUGUAAGUAAAUGUGCAGUUCUUGACGGUACCUAAUCAGAAAGCAACGGCUAACUACGUG
rnacentral:rRNA from 1 species